rnacentral:lncRNA from 1 species
CAUCUAUGAACCAGAAUGCAGGCCUUCACCAGGCACUUCUGGAGCCUUGAUGUUGGACUUUCCAGCAUCCAGAACUUAAGACAUACAGCUGUGAGUUUAUAAAAGUCUACAGAUUUUCAUCAAAUAAUGAUAAGAGAAAAAUAGAUAAGCUUUCUUUCUU